CAAUAAAAGAAGCAUGGUAAUGUUCACAUAAAUUGAUUUGGGUCUCUAUGUAUGCCUUCUCUGAUGCCAUUUGGUUUUCAUUUGGGGAUAUGGUUCCGCAGUAAAACA